rnacentral:rRNA from 1 species
UACGAAGGGUGCAAGCGUUACUCGGAAUUACUGGGCGUAAAGCGUGCGUAGGCGGUUUGUUAAGUCCGUUGUGAAAGCCCUGGGCUCAACCGGGGAACUGCGUCUGAUACUGGGUGGCUUGAAUCCGGGAGAGGGAUGCGGAAUUCCAGGUGUAGCGGUGAAAUGCGUAGAUAUCUGGAGGAACACCAAUUGCGAAGGCAGCUCGCUGGGACGUAACUGACGCUGAGACGCGAAAGCGUGGGGAGCAACAGG